rnacentral:lncRNA from 1 species
CCGGCGGCUCCAGGCGGCACGCGUGAGUGGGCAAGCGCAGGUGCUGGAGCGGCAGGAAUGUGAGCGGCACCGAGCGAGUGGCGCGAGUGUGCGCGCGAUGGCGUGCGGGAGUUGGCGGUGUGGGCAGCUGUUGAGCGGCCGGAGCGAAGCGCGGGCCCGGCAACAGAGGAAGGAGGUGGAGCUAUGCAAAGCAUUGACGAGCAGAGCAACGACAUGCAGAGCGGCAACGUGCAACGCAUGGCAGUGUUCCCGCUGGGCGAGCUCAGGCCACGACCGAGUUGAGUGCAGGAGGGUCGCGCGUGAUGGAUAUUAGGGGCCGUCGAGGAAAAGGCAGCGGAAGACACGGCCCUAAUACAGACAGACCACGGUCCUCGCGAAGGCGGAGGUGUGAGUAUGGCAUGGCGAAUCGGAAAGAAAAGCUACGGAGCGAAGGCGACGACUGGGCGUAACAAGCUCGGAGGAGCCACGGAGUAGCCAGACACGACGAGCUCCCUCCACCCAUGCAGAGGUCGAAACGGAAGCAGCACAUAGAAGAUGCGGCCAAGCACGGUGAUCCUACCGGAGGCUACGCGAGUGUGCGGACCAUGUUUCUGCAGCACACGCGCGUGAACAGUGGAGGCUUGGCCGUGAGCAAGGAAACCCUGAGGCUUGUGGAAGAGUCAACCUAGCGAACCAAUCCGGCUCCAUUGUCUUGUCCCAUGAUCCACGACACUCAGCAACUUCUACUCUUCGUCACCGUCGAGCUCUUCUCCUCGCUAAUCUUGUUCGCCACGGGAAUUCACUUUCCGUCUAUUCUUCUCCACAACCAAGACUACCCCAAGGUUUGCCCUGUUUUAUUAAAUUCUUUUAAUGCCGGCAAUCCCUUUGCCGGAAUAUCGUCGUUAACUUCCUGUUAUCUGUUCUCCCGGACCAGGGACUUGAUUGCUAUAUUUUGGAAAGUUCUAUAGUGUUCUUUGUAAAAUUUCCAAAGCUUUCUGUAUUUCAAAUCGAUGACCUCUACAUUUCAUAGAUUUUCAUAGGAAGUUCAUAAAAAUGUAAAAUCAGUUUCGUUUGAAACCCUAAGUCAAACUCUACAAGUUUUAUGUUAUGAUCUUGAGUUGAGAUCUUUGAUGUGUGGUCUAGGUCAAAUGUUAGGGAAUGAAUGUUUUAUUGUGCUUUAUAUUGUAUGCUUGUAUUAUAGCUAAAGCGUAAGCUAUAGAAGUUAUGUCAUAAGUAGAGAUAUGCGAUAUCUAGUUAAUCCUUUCCCACGAAGUGCUCAUAUCCUUAGCGUUAAGACGUUAUCCUUGUUUUGAUUGCCGUUUCCUUAAGAUCCUUUUCGUAAAAGGAUCCCUGUUAGUUUAUGUACUUUUGUUGCUUAGCUUAUACACCUCUACGGCUAUGCUUCAACGUCGACUAUCAGUUCAACCGCUAAACAUUCGUUUCCUUUGAGUUUAGAAUAUUUCUGCGUAACAGCUGUCAGCCGAUAUAUUUCUUGUGAUAUGCUUCUACUAUCGGCUGGUUAGCUGAUACGAUUGUUACCUUUCUAGUAUCGACUACUGCCGAUACAAGUCUGUUGUUCUAUCCUACAUCGACUACACAGAGUCGAUGUAUCGAAGAGACACACACGAUCUUAGGGUUUUUGCUAUCGGCCGACCCAAGCCGAUUUUGGUUGCCUUGCCAUAUCGGUCAAACACGGCCGAUCAAUCUUAGUUUUCCUAUCUCCAUUCCACACACCUCUAUCAGCCGAUUUAUCGACUGAGAGAUCGGCUAUCUAUAUCUAUCAGUCAUGUAUCCUCAAUCACACUCCAAUCGACUGUACGUCACUCAAUAGUUGUGCUGACGUAAUCGAGUCGAUACAACCACACUUAGUUACCUAGAAUAACACUUAAGCACAUCUCAGUUAAGACAACUGUUUUAGGAAUCAUCCCUCUGCUAAAGUGAUCGAUGUUUUCAUCGAUCAAUCAGGAAACCGGUGUACCUAUCAAUCUUCUACACAAACCAAAGUACACAACCCUAGAUCAAUAAGAUCGCACAUUAGACACGCCUCUGUUAGGCACGACCUAAGCACAUCAAUCAGCUAAACCCCCGUUGUUUCCAAUCGGCUCUGUUGUAACUCUCAACAAGUAGCUGAUUCUAGUUAGUUGUCCCCCUAAAGCUCUAUCUAGGUUUAGUUCAGAUCUUUUGGUUGUUAUAUGAAUAGUGUGUUAUAUAAGUGCUGGAUUGCAAUUUUGCUGUGAAAUAAAAUAGUUUUGUGUGCACGCUUGAAUGUAAUGUUGCAUUACAUGUAGAUACGACUACUUCAGCAACGGUACCUACGAGAUCUCCCCAAAGUCUACGGGGAAUAUUCCUGAAGAUCAAGUAAAUAUCACCAGGGGAAUAUCGGAAGCCCCGAACCAAAGUUCGGAAGAUAUUAACAUUUCUGACUUCAGACCCACCAGUAAAGGCAAGCCCCGG